CCUACGGGAGGCUGCAGUGAGGAAUAUUGGUCAAUGGCCGCAGGGCUGAACCAGCCAAGUCGCGUGAGGGAUGACGGUCCUAUGGAUUGUAAACCUCUUUUGUCAGGGAGCAAAGGGCGCCACGUGUGGCGCUUUGCGAGUACCUGAAGAAAAAGCAUCGGCUAACUCCGUGCCAGCAGCCGCGGUAAUCCGGAGGAUGCGAGCGUUAUCCGGAUUUAUUGGGUUUAAAGGGUGCGCAGGCGGAAUGUCAAGUCAGCGGUAAAAUUUCGGGGCUCAACCCCGUCGUGCCGUUGAAACUGGCGUUCUUGAGUGAGCGAGAAGUAUGCGGAAUGCGUGGUGUAGCGGUGAAAUGCAUAGAUAUCACGCAGAACUCCGAUUGCGAAGGCAGCAUACCGGCGCUCAACUGACGCUCAUGCACGAAAGCGUGGGUAUCGAACAGGAUUAGAUACCCCAGUAGUC
rnacentral:rRNA from 1 species